UACGUAGGGGGCAAGCGUUGUCCGGAAUCAUUGGGCGUAAAGCGCGCGUAGGCGGCCCGGUAAGUCCGCUCUGAAAGUCCAGGGCUCAACCCUGGAAAGCGGGUGGAUACUGCCGGGCUAGAAUCCGGAAGAGGCGAGUGGAAUUCCUGGUGUAGCGGUGGAAUGCGUAGAUAUCUGGAGGAACACCGGUGGCGAAGGCGGCAUCCUGGACCGAUACUGACGCUGAGGAGCGAAAGCCAGGGGAGCAAACGGG
rnacentral:rRNA from 1 species